rnacentral:lncRNA from 1 species
UUAUUUUCAUAAAUAUUCAGAUGAAACAGAAAGUGGUCUAGAGUCUUCUAUUCCCUUUCCCAAUUAUUAGGAUACGAGUUGUCUUACUCGAAUAUCCGAGUAAUCGUCAUCCAUUCAAAACACCUUAAUUAUUAUCCAAUCCUUUUCAUAAUUACUCAGAUGAAACAGAAAGCGGUCUAGAGUCUUCUAUUCCCUUUCCCGACUAUUAGGAUACGAGUUAGUAAUCGUCAUCCAUUCAAAACACCUUAAUUAUUAUCCAAUCCUUUUCAUAAUUACUCAGAUGAAACAGAAAGCGGUCUAGAGUCUUCUAUUCCCUUUCCCGACUAUUAGGAUACGAGUUGUCUUACCCGAUUAUCCGAGUAAUCGUCAUCCAACCAAAAAACAUCUCAACACAUCAAACAUAUCC